rnacentral:rRNA from 1 species
UACGUAGGGGGCGAGCGUUGUCCGGAGUUACUGGGCAUAAAGCGCACGCAGGCGGUCUGUUAAGUUUGGAGUGACAGUUGGUGGCUUAACUGCCAAAGUGCUUCGAAAACUGACAGACUUGAGGGCUUCAGAGGGACACGGAAUUCCGGGUGGAGUGGUGAAAUGCGUAGAGAUCCGGAGGAACACCAAAGGCGAAGGCAGUGUCCUGGGGAGUACCUGACGCUCAGGUGCGAAAGCCAGGGGAGCGAACGGG